CAGCAGCCGCGGUAAUACGUAAGGGGCGAGCGUUGUUCGGGAUUAUUGGGCGUAAAGGGUGAGUAGGCGGAUAUAUAAGUCUAUGCAUAAAAUACCACAGCUCAACUGUGGAACUAUGUUGGAAACUAUAUGUCUAGAGUCUGAUAGAGGAAGUUAGAAUUUCUGGUGUAAGGGUGGAAUCUGUUGAUAUCAGAAAGAAUACCGGAGGCGAAGGCGAACUUCUGGGUCAAGACUGACGCUGAGUCACGAAAGCGUAGGGAGCAAACAGGAUUAGAUACCCUGGUAGU
rnacentral:rRNA from 1 species